rnacentral:rRNA from 1 species
GCAUAUCAUAUCUGUCUGUACUACGAAAACUAACAAAGGAUACCCCUAGUAACUGCGAGUGAAGAGGGAAAAGCUCAAAUUUAAAAUCUGGCGGGCUCUGUCCGUCCGAGUUGUAAUCUGGAGAAGCGUUUUCCGCGUCGGACCGUGCACAAGUCUCCUGGAACGGAGCGUCAUAGAGGGUGAGAAUCCCGUCCAUGGCACGGACCGCCGAUGCUCUGUGAUACGUUUUCAAAGAGUCGAGUUGUUUGGGAAUGCAGCUCAAAACGGGUGGUAAAUUCCAUCUAAAGCUAAAUAUUGGCGAGAGACCGAUAGCGAACAAGUACCGUGAGGGAAAGAUGAAAAGCACUUUGGAAAGAGAGUUAAACAGUACGUGAAAUUGUUGAAAGGGAAACGCUUGAAGUCAGUCGCGUCCGACGGAACUCAGCCUUGCUUCGGCCUGGUGUACUUUCCGUCGGACGGGUCCAACAUCAGUUUUGACCGGUGGAAAAAGGUGGGGGGAAUGUAGCGCCGCUUCGGUGGCGUGUUAUAGCCCCUCGCUGUAUGCACCGGUCGGGACUGAGGACCGCAGCACGCCUUUUUGGCCGGGGGCUCGCGCCCUACGUACCGUGCUUAGGAUGUUGGCAUAAUGGCUUUAAGCGACCCGUCUUGAAACACGGACCAAGGAGUCCAACAUGCUUGCGAGUGUUCGGGUGGAAAACCCUUGCGCGUAAUGAAAGUAACAGUUAGGAACCUCCGCAAGGGGGUGCACUGACGCCCGGCCCUGAAGUUCUCGGACGGUGCUGCGGUAGAGCAAGUAUGCUGGGACCCGAAAGAUGGUGAACUAUGCCUGAAUAGGGGCGAAGCCAGAGGAAACUUCUGGGUGGAGGCCUCGUAGCGAUUUCUGACGUGCAAGUCGAUUCGUCAAAUUUGGUAUAGGGGGCGAAAGACUAAUUCGGAACCAUCUAGUAGCUGGCUUCCUUGGCGAAG